rnacentral:tRNA from 1 species
GGAGCGGUGUCCGAGCGGUUUAAGGAGACGGUCUUGAAAACCGUUGUACCGUCAGGUACCGAGGGUUCGAAUCCCUCCUGCUCCG